GGAGGAUCCAAGCGUUAUCCGGAAUCAUUGGGUUUAAAGGGUCCGUAGGCGGUCCGGUAAGUCAGUGGUGAAAGCCCAUCGCUCAACGGUGGAACGGCCAUUGAUACUGCUGGACUUGAAUUACUGGGAAGCAACUAGAAUAUGUAGUGUAGCGGUGAAAUGCUUAGAGAUUACAUGGAAUACCAAUUGCGAAGGCAGGUUGCUACCAGUGGAUUGACGCUGAUGGACGAAAGCGUGGGUAGCGAACAGGAUUAGAUACCCUGGUAGUCCACGCCGUAAACGAUGGAUACUAGCUGUUGGGAGCAAUCUCAGUGGCUAAGCGAAAGUGAUAAGUAUCCCACCUGGGGAGUACGUUCGCAAGAA
rnacentral:rRNA from 1 species